UUUUUCUUCUUUCUCUCCUCCUGUGCCUUUUAAAAACUGUUUUCUCUACCCUAACAAGGAAUCCACACACAUACACACACAAAAAGCAACAAGCUGGGCGGUUUGAUAACAUCGCUUUUAUCUGCCUUCGCCCCGCUCGCGCUCCCUCUCUCUCCCUGAUAAUUGACAACUUUUCCUUGGGAUUUGAAUCGCCGGCCUUAAUCUUGAAGCAGUUAGGGUGUCAAUUGUUCUCCUCGGAAGCCUUGGCACCCGACGGCACGACGGCGGCAUCUAGGUUCACGGAAAUUAAAAAUGUAUGGGGCUCCAGCAACUCUUCCCUGGCGGUGGCAAGUGACAUUUGGUGAUAAAAAAUCAAAACAUGCGAUUUUUAUCUACAAAGACUGAGUGACACAGUAUCCUUGCUUUUAUAAUAAUGAGAUCAGAAUUACUCUUUAGGUAGCAACUUGGAAAUGCAGAACUGCAGGGCUGCAUGGGGUGAAUUUUUUGAAAAGACUAAAAUAUCUACAUUUUCUUGUAUGUGGAAUGAAUAAGAUGCUAAUUAAAAAAAUACUAGUCUUUUAGAAAGCUGCUGAUAAAUAUAAAAUUUUCUCUUUCUAAAUUGAGAAUUUUUCUUGAAAAUUACAUACAGCAGCAACCUGGAAUAUAAAAAAUAUGUUGCCUAAAGUACAUUGUAUAGAAUAGUUAAUUCUAAAAGGAUAAAAUCAUCACCUGGUCAAAAUAAAGCAUGCAUUGUAAGAACUCUAUGUACUUAUUAAUAGCAUAUAUUUUUCUUUAUGGCCUGCAGCUUUUUGAACAAAGUAUUGGUUAUAGAGAAUUUAACUAGACAUUCAUAUUAAUGCGAAUUGAAGUAUAAACUAGAGAUUAAAGGUCUGUACCAUACUAAUCACCCAACCACUUUCUAUUACCUUUAGUUCAUUAUGGUUUAGCAAACAAUGAUUUUGCAAUCAGAUGCCUUAAGAUUUUUGUUAGUUCUUUACUUAUUUUGCUUUCGGAUUUUUCUACAUCAGUUUCUGUGGUGUCAGAUUUCCUAAAUUCUCUGUCAACCCCUGCCCCCUUUUCCUAAUGUGAAAAAGCCAUUGUGUAUACAUGAUAUGGGUCAUUGUGUGUGUUUCUUAUUCUUACUGUUGUGAGGUUUGUAGCUACUGCAUUAAAUACAUGCAUGGCUGUGCCUUUGUGACUCCAAACUGUUUUCCCAUGCUGUCCAUCACAUUUCUGGGAGACUUGUUAUAUAGUCACUCAGUUAUAAUUCAGCUCAGUGUGUUAAAUCUGUCUUUUUGGAAAGUGUUGCAACAGUGCAUCCUAUGAUAUGUCAAGCCGCCCUUGUGGGAAGACACAUAAUUUCCAGAUAUAAGUAUAUCUUUAGUUUCGUUUCUUUAGUUAUGUUUCUCUAUUGAGAUGAUAUGGAGAAAAGCAAUUUUGUGUCCUUUAACUAGAUUUAAGUAUAUGCUCUUUAACAUGAGGCAGUCUAAUUCUUAGGUAUGUAUAGUCUACAUUCAUGUUAUUUUAUUUGCUUAGAAUCUCCCUGACUAUGGGGUAAUUGGGUAAUAUCAAAUUCUUCCUCCUUGAAUUGCAAUGCACAUAAACACAUUAGUAAUUAAUUCCUAUCAAGGACCAUUAAUUCUAUGUUUUAAGUUGUUGGUAACCUGGUUACUGUUUUCCUUAAGAGAUUUAUGUUUUUGCAGAAAGAAAAUAGUUGUAAACUUUGAGAUCUAUUCUUUUGAGUUAGAACCAAAUGGGGAGUGCUGUCAAUUGAAAAUGAGGAAAAGGGAAUGAUUUCUCUAAUCUUCUCAAGUGCUAAAAUAUAUACACAGGGUAUUUUUUUCAUCCCAAUUUCCAAUUUUAGUAUUUACGUUUAAAACAUCUUUUCUUGCCCCAUGAUGGUUCAUUUUUUUUAAUGAAAAUGUUUAUAACUUGCUAAUGUGUGUUUUCUGUUUCGCCUUUUGUUGUUAGUAGCACAUGGUGUUACAGUAUUUAUAUAUUUUUAAUAGCAAUAAUUGUCACACAGUAAUAAUAGUUGCCAUAUAACCUCCAAUUGCUAGUAAAUAUUUUUAAGUACAUAAUAGACAGCAAUUUAAGGCAUAGUGUAGCAGUUUACUGGACCAUUUUAAAGAGCCAUUUGUACGUGUGAUGGGUUCAUAAUUUUAAAGAGAAAAUAAUGUACCGAAGAUUUCUGUGCUAUACAGAAUGUUGCUGUGUUACUGCUUGAAGUGCUCAUUGAGAGGAAGUUAGGUGGGAUCUGUUCUUUGGGAGAAUAAAGGUGGCGACCUUGGAAGAAUAAAGGUGGCGACUGAUGCUUUUAGGACAAUGAGUGUUGAUUUUUUGCCAGGUGCUUAGAUAAUUUAGCAUUUUCUUGGGAAUGUUUUGGUCAUAUUUUUCAUGAUUGUAUUAGGUAUUUAUUAGG